rnacentral:rRNA from 1 species
GACGAACGCUUGCGGCGUGCUUAACACAUGCAAGUCGAACGGAAAGGCCCUGCUUUUGUGGGGUGCUCGAGUGGCGAACGGGUGAGUAACACGUGAGUAACCUGCCCUUGACUUUGGGAUAACUUCAGGAAACUGGGGCUAAUACCGGAUAGGAGCUCCUGCUGCAUGGUGGGGGUUGGAAAGUUUCGGCGGUUGGGGAUGGACUCGCGGCUUAUCAGCUUGUUGGUGGGGUAGUGGCUUACCAAGGCUUUGACGGGUAGCCGGCCUGAGAGGGUGACCGGCCACAUUGGGACUGAGAUACGGCCCAGACUCCUACGGGAGGCAGCAGUGGGGAAUAUUGCACAAUGGGCGGAAGCCUGAUGCAGCAACGCCGCGUGCGGGAUGACGGCCUUCGGGUUGUAAACCGCUUUCGCCUGUGACGAAGCGUGAGUGACGGUAAUGGGUAAAGAAGCACCGGCUAACUACGUGCCAGCAGCCGCGGUGAUACGUAGGGUGCGAGCGUUGUCCGGAUUUAUUGGGCGUAAAGGGCUCGUAGGUGGUUGAUCGCGUCGGAAGUGUAAUCUUGGGGCUUAACCCUGAGCGUGCUUUCGAUACGGGUUGACUUGAGGAAGGUAGGGGAGAAUGGAAUUCCAGGUGGAGCGGUGGAAUGCGCAGAUAUCAGGAGGAACACCAGUGGCGAAGGCGGUUCUCUGGGCCUUUCCUGACGCUGAGGAGCGAAAGCGUGGGGAGCGAACAGGCUUAGAUACCCUGGUAGUCCACGCUGUAAACGGUGGGUACUAGGUGUGGGGUCCAUUCCACGGGUUCCGUGCCGUAGCUAACGCUUUAAGUACCCCGCCUGGGGAGUACGGCCGCAAGGCUAAAACUCAAAGGAAUUGACGGGGCCCCGCACAAGCGGCGGAGCAUGCGGAUUAAUUCGAUGCAACGCGUAGAACCUUACCUGGGUUUGACAUGGAUCGGGAGUGCUCAGAGAUGGGUGUGCCUCUUUUGGGGUCGGUUCACAGGUGGUGCACGGCUGUCGUCAGCUCGUGUCGUGAGAUGUGGGGUUAAGUCCCGCAACGAGCGCAACCCUUGUUCACUGUUGCCAGCACGUUAUGGUGGGGACUCAGUGGAGACCGCCGGGGUCAACUCGGAGGAAGGUGGGGAUGACGUCAAGUCAUCAUGCCCCUUAUGUCCAGGGCUUCACGCAUGCUACAAUGGCUGGUACAGAGAGUGGCGAGCCUGUGAGGGUGAGCGAAUCUCGGAAAGCCGGUCUCAGUUCGGAUUGGGGUCUGCAACUCGACCUCAUGAAGUCGGAGUCGCUAGUAAUCGCAGAUCAGCAACGCUGCGGUGAAUACGUUCCCGGG